GGUAAGAUGGCUGAUAAAAGUAAUGGAUUGUAAAUCCAUAAAUGAAGACAAAAAACUUCUCUUACCA
rnacentral:tRNA from 1 species